rnacentral:tRNA from 1 species
UGGCCCGUAGCUUAACUGGAUUAAGCAUCCGGUUUCUACCCGGAAGAGUAUGAGUUCGAAUCUCAUCGGGCCAA